UACGAAGGGGCGAGCGUUGUUCGGAUUUACUGGGCGUAAAGGGCGCGCAGGCGGCUUUGUUUGUCAGGCGUGAAAGUCCCGGGCUUAACCUGGGAACUGUGUUUGAUACGGCAGGGCUAGAGUUCGGGAGAGGAGAGUGGAAUUCCCAGUGUAGAGGUGAAAUUCGUAGAUAUUCGGAAGAACACCAGUGGCGAAGGCGGCUCACUGGACGCGUAUUGACGCUGAGGUGCGAAAGCGUGGGGAGCAAACAGGG
rnacentral:rRNA from 1 species